rnacentral:rRNA from 1 species
CACCGGAGCUUGCUCCACCGGAAAAAGAGGAGUGGCGAACGGGUGAGUAACACGUGGGUAACCUGCCCAUCAGAAGGGGAUAACACUUGGAAACAGGUGCUAAUACCGUAUAACAAUCAAAACCGCAUGGUUUCGAUUUGAAAGGCGCUUUCGGGUGUCGCUGAUGGAUGGACCCGCGGUGCAUUAGCUAGUUGGUGAGGUAACGGCUCACCAAGGCCACGAUGCAUAGCCGACCUGAGAGGGUGAUCGGCCACAUUGGGACUGAGACACGGCCCAAACUCCUACGGGAGGCAGCAGUAGGGAAUCUUCGGCAAUGGACGAAAGUCUGACCGAGCAACGCCGCGUGAGUGAAGAAGGUUUUCGGAUCGUAAAACUCUGUUGUUAGAGAAGAACAAGGAUGAGAGUAACUGUUCAUCCCUUGACGGUAUCUAACCAGAAAGCCACGGCUAACUACGUGCCAGCAGCCGCGGUAAUACGUAGGUGGCAAGCGUUGUCCGGAUUUAUUGGGCGUAAAGCGAGCGCAGGCGGUUUCUUAAGUCUGAUGUGAAAGCCCCCGGCUCAANCCGGGGAGGGUCAUUGGAAAUCUGGGAGACUUGAGUGCCAGAAGAGGAGAGUGGAAUUCCAUGUGUAGCGGUGAAAUGCGUAGAUAUAUGGAGGAACACCAGUGGCGAAGGCGGCUCUCUGGUCUGUAAC